GUAUAAGAAUUAUAUUACAAUCUCUUUGGUUUUGGGGCUGUUUGGCAACCCUCUUAAUGAAUCAUUAAGAGGUGGACCUCUUAUUCGGACAGAGGUGGAGGUGUUUGGUUGUGCCUCUUAAUGGGAAACCUCUUAAUGAUUCAGUGCUGAAUCAUUCAGAUAUAUCAACAUGCUGAAUGAAAAAAAAAGACCGUGGUUGCCCCCUUUCACCUCUGAUGGACAAGAAACCCUAACCUCUCAAAACCUCCGCCCCCACCCCGUCUCCUCACCACCUCCCGCCGCCCUCCUCCUCCUCUCCUCGUCUCCUCACCACCGAACACCUCCCACAGCCCUCAUCCUCCCUCUCUUCCACCGAACAACCCCUCUCCUCCGACGACCGCCGCCCUUCCUCCUCCCUCUCUUCCACCCAACAGCGACUCCACCCAGGCCCUUGUGUGUUUAUGUGUGCCUGCAGCAGAUAGCAGGGUGUUGAGGUCCACCCCAUUUCAUGUUCAUGAUCUUAAAAGAUUUGAUGUUGAUGUCCUAGAACAGUAUUUGAUUGUUACUGUUUUAAUGUAACAUAUGCUUUGUUAUAUGUUGACGAUGAUGUAACAGAUUUGGUUUUAGAAUGGUGUUGGUGUUGCUUUCAACUGCUUCUGCCUUGCUCCUGUUUUGAUUGUUUCUGUUUUAAUGUAAUAAUAUGCUUUGUGCCUUGACUUUUCGUUUGAUUGUGUGUGUGUUUAGAAUCACCCUUAGGCCAUGGGUAUGGGGUUUGGGUUAGGGGAAAACGCCCAAGCCACCACCCCGGGGGGCUUGAGUUUGGGCGUGGUCCCCUUUGGCGUGGGUUUAAAGCCGGGCGUGGGGCGGCCAAACAAGGUGACAUGGCGGGAUCUCAAUGGCCAUGUGUCAACUCAUGCCCCCAACCCAAGCCCUAGCAUACCCCAUGGGCGUGGGUUUUUUUUCCCAUUCCACGUGUCAACCAAUGCCCAACCCAAACCCCACCAUACCCCACGGUUAGUUCAAACGUAUUAGUGGUACUAUUAUCCGUACAUUCUAUUCUAUUUAAAUUUACGUUUAACUAAAAUUCUUUUGAAUGGAAGGUUUAUCCAAAGUAAACACAUACAUUUAUUUGAAUCAAAUUAAAAUUGUAUGUAGAGUUGUGUUAUUUGUAUUUGGAUUUCGUAUGUUGUGUUGUUUUGUAUUUGGAUUUAAAGGAUUGAUGUGUAAUUUGGAUUUU